GGAGCGACCUCUCUUCCCUCAGAUCCUGGCGUCCAUCGAGCUGCUGGCUCGCUCAUUACCCAAAAUCCACCGCAGCGCCUCGGAGCCUUCGUUAAACCGCGCCGGCUUCCAGACGGAGGACUUCAGCUUGUACGCCUGCGCCUCCCCCAAAACCCCCAUCCAGGCCUGUGGCUAUGGGGAGUUUUCAGCAUUUAAGUAAGUGCUGCAGAUCCCACCACUCCAUCCCUCGUCACCUCUCAAAAGUCUCGUGUCUCUGCGGUGGAUUAAUUACUGGAGAAAAAAAAUCUAAAGUCGUCUCAAAGAACCUGAAGACGGCAACCAAAAGCUGUCCUGCAGUCAAACAGCCACUGCGACAGACAAAACUGAAUUAGGAAAAAUAAAAAAAGAGCAAACAAAGCAACUUGAAUGACACAAAACGAAAAACAACAUCCACACCAAAACCGUUUCUCCCACCCGCCGGAGGGAGAAGAUGAAGGCGACGAUGAAGGGAGGAGACGCAGCGCUCCCGUCUGACUGGGGGGGGCUGGAGAUGGAAGGUCGGGCGCCGGCCUUGUUCCCCUGCGAGAGCUGGAGGU